AGGAGACGUUAAUUUUGGGAUUUACAAGGGCAAGGUCCUGUUGAUUGUCAAUGUUGCAUCUCAAUGUGGCUUGACCAAUUCCAACUACACGGAGCUGAGAAAAUUGUAUGAGAAAUAUAAAGAUCAAGAUUUUGAGAUUCUUGCAUUUCCAUGUAACCAGUUUGGGGGACAGGAGCCUGGGAACAAUGAGCAAAUCAUGGAGUUUGCUUGUACUAGAUUUAAAGUCGAAUACCCCAUAUUUGAUAAGGUGUUUCAUUUGGCAAUAUGAAAGCUUGUAGUAUGCUUUGAUGUUGUUUGGACACUUCGAAAUCAUAGACGAGUCAAGGAUCGAAUAUGCAGAAACAGGCUCCACAGUUGAACUAACAAUAGGACAAACACUGUGUAGAAUCUCAAUUUUGGGUUCAAUCAGUCUCAAAACUCUUUACUCUGUAUGCGUCGGUGAUAAUGGUGGUGUUGUGCCAGCCUCUUCAAUGCUUUAGUGAAAUUAUGGAAUCAUUAGUGUUUUCAGUUAAAGUUGUAUAAUAUCAGAUAGUCCUGUCUUAUCCAUGGGAUUGUAGGUUCUACAUUUUCCUUCGAGUUGAUCAUUAUUGAACUGACAUUAUCGCCAUGUUAUUUUUAUUACAGGUUGAUGUGAAUGGUGAGAAGGCUGCCCCCAAAUACAAAUUCCUCAAGUCUAGUAAAGGUGGACUUUUUGGGGACACCAUUAGGUGGAAUUUCUCCAAGUUCUUGGUCGAUAAGGACGACAUUGUCGUCGAUCGUAAUGCUCCAACUACUUCUCCUCUUAGCAUUGAGAAGGAUAUAAAGAAGCUGCUGGCCUGAAUUUGAUUGACUGGGGGAGGAAGUCACAGAGUCGAUAAA